rnacentral:rRNA from 1 species
UACGUAGGUGGCAAGCGUUGUCCGGAAUUAUUGGGCGGAAAGCGCGCGCAGGCGGUUCUUUAAGUCUGUUGUGAAAGCCCACGGCUCAACCGUGGAGGGUCAUUGGAAACUGGAGAACUUGAGUACAGAAGAGGAAAGCGGAAUUCCACGUGUAGCGGUGAAAUGCGUAGAGAUGUGGAGGAACACCAGUGGCGAAGGCGGCUUUCUGGUCUGUAACUGACGCUGAGGCGCGAAAGCGUGGGGAGCAAACAGG